rnacentral:rRNA from 1 species
GACGAACGCUGGCGGCGUGCCUAAUACAUGCAAGUCGAGCGGACUUAAAAGGAGCUUGCUUCUUUUAAGUUAGCGGCGGACGGGUGAGUAACACGUGGGCAACCUGCCCUAUAGUUUGGGAUAACUCCGGGAAACCGGGGCUAAUACCGAAUAAUACAUUUUAACUCCUGUUAGAAUGUUGAAAGAUGGUUUACGCUAUCGCUAUAGGAUGGGCCCGCGGCGCAUUAGCUAGUAGGUGAGGUAACGGCUCACCUAGGCGACGAUGCGUAGCCGACCUGAGAGGGUGAUCGGCCACACUGGGACUGAGACACGGCCCAGACUCCUACGGGAGGCAGCAGUAGGGAAUCUUCCACAAUGGACGAAAGUCUGAUGGAGCAACGCCGCGUGAGUGAAGAAGGUUUUCGGAUCGUAAAACUCUGUUGUAAGGGAAGAAUAAGUGCAGUAGUAACUGGCUGCACCUUGACGGUACCUUAUUAGAAAGCCACGGCUAACUACGUGCCAGCCGCCGCGGUAACAC